rnacentral:lncRNA from 1 species
CGCAGCUCAGCGCCCGGCGGGUGCGCGGCGGGCUUGGGGUGCCGCGCGGUAGCGCACCCUCCUGCGCCCCAGCGGCCGCGGGCUUGCUGCAGCGCUUUCUUUCGAUGCAGAACGAGCCCCAGGCACCCCAGCAGGCCGCACGCUUCUCUUUCGCGGUGGAUGAGGUCGCCUGCAGAUCCAGGCUGGGCCUUAUGGGCUGCCCAGGCGGAGCGGGACUUCCCGGUCAUCGUCAUCCUCCGCUCCCCGCGCUCAGCCUGGCCCGAGCUCGGCUUCCCCAGCCCCUGUCCACCGCCCACCUGCUGAGGAGCAGCAGAGUGCUGUGUCACUCAGGAGUUGGGGACCCCUGACCCAGCCCAACCGCCCUCGUGCGCUGUGCAGAAAGCGCCAUUCUCCAUUUCAAGAUGCCUUUGCCGUUUUGACAGAUGCAAACUGACCCCUCUCGAGGCCACGGCAGAAGGGGAAUCGUGACUGUCUGAAGCCUGGAAGACUGCCCUCAAUUAAGGAAA